GGGCCCGCACAAGCGGUGGAGUAUGUGGUUUAAUUCGAUGCAACGCGAAGAACCUUACCAGGGUUUGACAUCCUGCGAAUCUCUUGGAAACGAGAGAGUGCCUUCGGGAACGCAGUGACAGGUGGUGCAUGGCUGUCGUCAGCUCGUGUCGUGAGAUGUUGGGUUAAGUCCCGCAACGAGCGCAACCCACGUCGUUAGUUGCCAGCAUUUAGUUGGGCACUCUAAAGAAACUGCCCGUGAUAAGCGGGAGGAAGGUGUGGAUGACGUCAAGUCCUCAUGGCCCUUACGGGUUGGGCUACACACGUGCUACAAUGGCAGUGACAAUGGGUUAAUCCCAAAAGCUGUCUCAGU
rnacentral:rRNA from 1 species